GAUGAAGAACGUAGCGAAAUGCGAUACUUGGUGUGAAUUGCAGAAUCCCGUGAACCAUCGAGUCUUUGAACGCAAGUUGCGCCCGAAGCCAUCAGGUUGAGGGCACGUCUGCCUGGGCGUCACAUAUCGUUGCCCAAUGCCUAUUGCAGUGCAAUAGGAAUUUCUAGGGCGAAUGAUGGCUUCCCGUGAGCGUUGUUGCCUCGCGGUUGGUUGGAAAUCGAGUCCUUGGUAGGGUGUGCCAUGGUAGAUGGUGGUCGAGUUAGAACGAUACCGAUCAUGUGCAUGCUCCCCAAAAUAUGGCCUCUAUGACCCACACGCGUCUUUUGACGCUCAUGACGAGACCUCAGGUCAGGCGGGGCUACCCGCUGAAUUUAAGCAUAUCAAUAAGCGGAGGA
rnacentral:misc_RNA from 1 species